rnacentral:pre_miRNA from 1 species
GUACUACUCACUCCGUCCAAAAAUACUUGUCAUCAAAAUGGAUAAAAAAUAUGUAUCUAGAACUAAUAUACAUCUAGAUACAUCCCCUUUUUCAUUUUGAUGACAAGUAUUUCCGGACGAAGGGAGUACUAU